AAGAGACAGCAGCAGCCGCGGUAAUACGAAGGGGGCUAGCGUUGCUCGGAAUUACUGGGCGUAAAGGGAGCGUAGGCGGACAUUUAAGUCAGGGGUGAAAUCCCGGGGCUCAACCUCGGAAUUGCCUUUGAUACUGGGUGUCUUGAGUAUGAGAGAGGUAUGUGGAACUCCGAGUGUAGAGGUGAAAUUCGUAGAUAUUCGGAAGAACACCAGUGGCGAAGGCGACAUACUGGCUCAUUACUGACGCUGAGGCUCGAAAGCGCGGGGAGCAAACAGGAUUAGAUACCCCCGUAGUCCCUGUCUCUUAUAC
rnacentral:rRNA from 1 species